rnacentral:rRNA from 1 species
UACGUAGGGUGCAAGCAUUAAUCGGAUUUAUUGGGCGUAAAGGGCGCGUAGGCGGAAAUGCCAGUCAACUGUGAAAAUCCCGGGGCUCAACCCCGGAACAGCAUUUGAAACUACAUUUCUAGAGGGUAGACGGAGAAAACGGAAUUCCACAAGUAGCGGUGAAAUGCGUAGAUAUGUGGAAGAACACCAGUGGCGAAGGCGGUUUUCUAGUUUAUACCUGACGGCUGAGGCGCGAAAGCAAGGGGAGCAAAGCAGG